rnacentral:rRNA from 1 species
CCUACGGGAGGCAGCAGUGGGGAAUUUUGGACAAUGGACGCAAGUCUGAUCCAGCCAUUCCGCGUGCAGGACGAAGGCCUUCGGGUUGUAAACUGCUUUUGUACGGAACGAAAAAGCUCUUAUUAAUACUAGGAGUCCAUGACGGUACCGUAAGAAUAAGCACCGGCUAACUACGUGCCAGCAGCCGCGGUAAUACGUAGGGUGCAAGCGUUAAUCGGAAUUACUGGGCGUAAAGCGUGCGCAGGCGGUUGUAUAAGACAGAUGUGAAAUCCCCGAGCUUAACUUGGGAACUGCAUUUGUGACUGUAUAGCUAGAGUACGGCAGAGGGGGAUGGAAUUCCGCGUGUAGCAGUGAAAUGCGUAGAUAUGCGGAGGAACACCGGUGGCGAAGGCAAUCCCCUGGGCCUGUACUGACGCUCAUGCACGAAAGCGUGGGGAGCAAACAGGAUUAGAUACCCUGGUAGUCCACGCCCUAAACGAUGUCAACUGGUUGUUGGGUCUUCACUGACUCAGUAACGAAGCUAACGCGUGAAGUUGACCGCCUGGGGAGUACGGCCGCAAGGUUGAAACUCAAAUGAAUUGACGG